rnacentral:sRNA from 1 species
GCCGGGCCUGGUGGAGCAUGCCUGUAAUCCCAGUGGCUUGGGAGGCUGAGGCAGGAGGAUCGCGAGUUUAAAGCCAGCCUCAG